AGGCAGCUGCAACAUAAAGGAUGUCUCAGGAAACAGGAUAAUCUGUUUGUGUGGCCACGAGUCUGUGAUCCCUGACCUGUCUUAAUCCUCAGCAGUAGAAACCACAGACUUGGCAGCUGAAACCACGGAAAUUUAUCUCUCACAGUUAUGGAUUCUGGAAGGCCAAGACCAAAGUUCCAGCAAGGUGAUGCUUUGUUUGGAUGAUCGCAGUAAGCCAAUAUGCUGGCCUUCAUAAAAAGUUGCGCUGAAGUAUAUCUAAUAUUAAUAGAAAGCAGUAAGUGAAGCCAUGGUAGGGGUGGAAGAGAAAGCCAAGGACCACAGGGUUAGGGAUAUUGGUGAGAAAGUCCUGCACUCAAAAGACAAUCUGAAGGACAGGUGCACUUGUGGAUCAGGAAUACCGGAAAGGAAGUGCUAAAAGAGAGAAAAUUACCCAUUCAUCGAGUCACUGCAAAUUUCUUCAGAGCCUGGGUAUGUGUCCUGAGCAGCUAAGGUAAAGCAGACUGGAUAGCAUGAAUCUCAUUAAACUUGUUAGAAACAAGGACAUUCCUGAGUACUUCAUUCA